rnacentral:rRNA from 1 species
UACGAAGGAUGCGAGCGUUAUCCGGAUUUAUUGGGUGUAAAGGGCGUGUAGGCGGGAAUGCAAGUCAGAUGUGAAAACUCAGGGCUCAACCCUGAGCCUGCAUUUGAAACUGUGUUUCUUGAGUGCUGGAGAGGCAAUCGGAAUUCCGUGUGUAGCGGUGAAAUGCGUAGAUAUACGGAGGAACACCAGUGGCGAAGGCGGCCUGCUGGACAAUAACUGACGCUGAGGCGCGAAAGCGUGGGGAGCAAACAGG